rnacentral:lncRNA from 1 species
AGACAUCACGUGACACGGGUUUAUAAUAACGAAAAGAUAGUCUUUUAAUUUCUUUUUAGGUCGGGACCUUGAACAGACAACAUGUCUAGAGAUGGAAUGUACACAAUGUAAUUUCUUUUGUCAUUGUAGGAAAUUGACAUUUUGAUCACAGUUCACCAGCAGUGCAUGUUUUGGAUUUAAUCGAUCCGGUGUAACUUUAAAACACAUUUAAUGAUUAUUUUUUGAUAAUGUCCAUUUUUCAGCACCUGUUUGUAACACAGA